rnacentral:ncRNA from 1 species
CUAGUGGUACGGUCGUACCAUCAAGCAUGCGCGACGGCGGACACUGCCACCCGGUGCGUGCGC